AAUUUGUAAAACUUAAAAGGAAAAAACUGAAGCAACAAUGAGAAGGCAAUGAAUAAGGUGUACAAGCUACACGCUCGCCUCCUGAAGACUGGGUUUCACAAUCAUCCUCUAUCUCUCCAACACCUCCUUCUAUCGUGCGUCCCUGCUGCGCCUCAAAGCUUAACCUACGCACGGUCCCUCUUCGCUCACAUUCCCUCGCCUGACACUUUUGCCUACAACACCAUCAUCAGAGCUCAUGCCCACUCCUCUCCUUCUCACGCCCUUUCGUUCUUCUCUAAAAUGCGCCACCAUGACGUCUCAUCCGACAAAUUCACCUUCCCAUUUGUUCUCACAGCCUGUGCUCGCCUUCAGGUGGGUCAGGAGCUUCACUCGCUCAUCGUUAAGAUGGGUUUUGAUUCUGACAUUUAUGUUCAGAACUCGUUGAUAGCUCUCUAUGGUUGUCGCGGGUCUGUUCAGCACGCCUUAAAGGUGUUUGAUGAAAUGCUUCAGAGAGACUUGGUUUCAUGGUCGUCUAUGAUUGGUUGCUUUGUGAAUAAUGGUUUUGAUAAUGAGGCUUUGGCUUUAUUUCAACAAAUGCAGAUUCAGGAGGAUAUGAAACCCGAUUAUGUCACUAUGAUCAGCGUGAUAUCUGCAGUUUCAAGAUUAGGGGAAUUGGAAUUGGGCCGAUGGGUUGAUACUUAUAUACGUAGAAUUGGGAUGGAGCUUACUGUUCCAUUGGGUACUGCUCUCAUUGAUAUGUAUUCUAGAUGUGGGUCUGUUGAUGAGUCAAUUCGAGUGUUCAAUGAAAUGCCUGUUAGAAAUUUAUUGACAUGGUCAGCAAUGAUUAAUGGCCUUGCAGUGCAUGGCCGUAGUGGAGAAGCUCUUAAGUUUUUUUACAAGAUGAAGAAUUCUGGCCUACACCCGGAUAAUAAUACUCUCACUGGUGUUUUAGUUGCUUGUAGCCAUGGCGGUCUUGUUGAAGAUGGUUGGAGAGUUUUUGAGAGCAUUAGGAAUGAGUAUGGCAUGAAACCACUGCUUGAACAUUAUGGUUGCAUGGUUGAUCUCCUUGGCCGUGCAGGCUUGCUCUAUGAAGCCUAUGACUUUGUGGAAAGAAUGCCAAUGAAGCCAAACUCUGUUAUUUGGAGAUCUUUGCUUGGAGCAUGUGUAAGUCAUAACCAUGUUAAAUUGGCAGAGAAAGUGAAGCAGAGGAUCUAUGUGCUCGAUCCUUACCAUGAUGGUGAUUAUGUGCUUUUAUCAAACGCAUACGGCGGGGUUGGUAGAUGGGAUGAGAGGGAAGUGUUGAGGAAUUCAAUGAGGGAAAAAAGAGUAAGCAAGAAACCUGGUUAUAGUUUAAUUAAUUUGGACCAAGUGACUCACGGGUUUGUUUCUGGGGAUAGUUCUCAUUCGAAUCAGUGGAGGCAAGAAAAUUCUUAUUUUCAAUAAUUGGAAAUUUAAGGCUUGGAGGUUCAAGAUAUACCCCUUAUACAUAAUACAUCUGAUGUACUACAUGACAAUGAAGAGGAGGAGGAGCAUGGUAAAAGUUAUCACAGUGAGAAGUUGGCCGUUGCUAUUGCACUCCUUAAACUUGAAAAUAGGACUAUAAGAUUCAUGACUGUCAUAGUUUCAUGAAGCAUGUUUCAGAUACAUUUGAUAAAGAAAUCAUCAUCCAUGACCGAAACCGGUUCCAUCACUUUAUUAAGGGAUCAUGUUCUUGUCAGGAUUAUUGGUGAAAAGCUAUACCUUGUCGAUCUUUUUUUUUUUUUUUUCUUCAUUAUUUUGUAUUUAAUCAAACUAACUGCGCAAAUAAGCUCUUCAUCAUCAACACGCAGAAGUCCAGCACAACUCUCUUAAGAACCCAGAUCAGUCAUCUUUCUGGAU